UACGGAGGAGGCAAGCGUUAUCCGGAAUUAUUGGGCGUAAAGCGUCCGUAGGUGGCUCUUCAAGUCUGCUGUCAAAGAGUGGGGCUUAACCCUGCAAAGGCAGUGGAAACUGAAAGGCUAGAGAGCCGUAGGGGUAGAGGGAAUUCCCGGUGUAGCGGUGAAAUGCGUAGAGAUUGGGAAGAACAUCCGUGGCGAAAGCGCUCUGCUGGACUGCAACUGACAUUGAGGGACGAAAGCUAGGGGAGCGAAUGGG
rnacentral:rRNA from 1 species